rnacentral:rRNA from 1 species
AUUAGACAUUUAUGGGUACAAGAUGACUAUGCGUCCUAUGAGCUAGAUGGUAAGGUGACGGCUUACCAUGGCAACGAUAGGUAGGGGGUCUGAGAGGAUUAUCCCCCACACUGGUACUGAGACACGGACCAGACUCCUACGGGAGGCAGCAGUGAGGAAUAUUGGUCAAUGGAGGCAACUCUGAACCAGCUAUGCCGCGUGCAGGACGACUGCCCUAUGGGUUGUAAACUGCUUUUAUAUAGG